GGCGAACGCUGGCGGCGUGCUUAACACAUGCAAGUCGAACGGAAAGGCCCUGCUUUUGUGGGGUGCUCGAGUGGCGAACGGGUGAGUAACACGUGAGUAACCUGCCCUUGACUUUGGGAUAACUUCAGGAAACUGGGGCUAAUACCGGAUAGGAGCUCCUGCUGCAUGGUGGGGGUUGGAAAGUUUCGGCGGUUGGGGAUGGACUCGCGGCUUAUCAGCUUGUUGGUGGGGUAGUGGCUUACCAAGGCUUUGACGGGUAGCCGGCCUGAGAGGGUGACCGGCCACAUUGGGACUGAGAUACGGCCCAGACUCCUACGGGAGGCAGCAGUGGGGAAUAUUGCACAAUGGGCGGAAGCCUGAUGCAGCAACGCCGCGUGCAGGAUGACGGCCUUCGGGUUGUAAACCGCUUUCGCCUGUGACGAAGCGUGAGUGACGGUAAUGGGUAAAGAAGCACCGGCUAACUACGUG
rnacentral:rRNA from 1 species